rnacentral:rRNA from 1 species
GACAGCAGCAGCCGCGGUAAUGCGGAGGGGGCUAGCGUUGUUCGGAAUUACUGGGCGUAAGGCGCACGUAGGCGGCUUGGUAAGUUAGAGGUGAAAGUCCGGAGCUCAACUCCGGAAUUGCCUUUAAGACUGCCGAGCUAGUAGGUGAGAGAGGUGAGUGGAAUUCCGAGUGUAGAGGUGAAAUUCGUAGAUAUUCGGAAGAACACCAGUGGCGAAGGCGGCUCACUGGCUCAUUCUAGACGCUGAGGUGCGAAAGCGUGGGGAGCAAACAGGAUUAGAUACCCCCGUAGUCCCUGUCUCUUAUAC